AUUCCAGCUCCAAUAGCGUAUAUUAAAGUUGUUGCAGUUAAAAAGCUCGUAGUUGGAUUUCUGUGAGAGUGCCGGUGUCGGCUGAUGCUUGUACGCAGGCGCUCUUACAUCCUUCUGUUAACUGUUCUUGGCAUUUUAUUGCUGGUUCAGGGCUCAGAUAUUUUACCUUGAGAAAAUUAGAGUGUUUCAGGCAGGCUUAUGCCGGAAUACAUUAGCAUGGAAUAAUGGAACAGGACCUGUGCGUCUCUCGGGGCGCCGGUCUCCGUUGUUGGUUUCGGGGACUAAUGUAAUGAUUAAUAGGGAUAGUUGGGGGCAUUAGUAUUUAAUAGUCAGAGGUGAAAUUCUCGGAUUUGUUAAAGACUAACUUAUGCGAAAGCAUUUGCCAAGGAUGUUUUCAUCG
rnacentral:rRNA from 1 species